rnacentral:rRNA from 1 species
ACGCUCGACAGUGUCAGCAGCCGCGGUAAUACGAAGGGGGCUAGCGUUGCUCGGAAUUACUGGGCGUAAAGGGCGCGUAGGCGGACAGUUAAGUUGGGGGUGAAAGCCCGGGGCUCAACCUCGGAAAUGCCUUCAAUACUGGCUGUCUUGAGUACGGGAGAGGUGAGUGGAACUCCGAGUGUAGAGGUGAAAUUCGUAGAUAUUCGGAAGAACACCAGUGGCGAAGGCGACUCACUGGCCCGUUACUGACGCUGAGGCGCGAAAGCGUGGGGAGCAAACAGGAUUAGAUACCCUGGUAGUCCACGCCGUAAACGAUGAGUGCUAGUUGUCGGCAUGCAUGCAUGUCGGUGACGCAGCUAACGCAUUAAGCACUCCGCCUGGGGAGUACGGUCGCAAGAUU